rnacentral:rRNA from 1 species
AGUUUGAUCCUGGCUCAGGACGAACGCUGGCGGCGUGCCUAAUACAUGCAAGUCGAACGCUUCUUUUUCCACCGGAGCUUGCUCCACCGGAAAAAGAAGAGUGGCGAACGGGUGAGUAACACGUGGGUAACCUGCCCAUCAGAAGGGGAUAACACUUGGAAACAGGUGCUAAUACCGUAUAACAAUCAAAACCGCAUGGUUUUGAUUUGAAAGGCGCUUUCGGGUGUCGCUGAUGGAUGGACCCGCGGUGCAUUAGCUAGUUGGUGAGGUAACGGCUCACCAAGGCCACGAUGCAUAGCCGACCUGAGAGGGUGAUCGGCCACAUUGGGACUGAGACACGGCCCAAACUCCUACGGGAGGCAGCAGUAGGGAAUCUUCGGCAAUGGACGAAAGUCUGACCGAGCAACGCCGCGUGAGUGAAGAAGGUUUUCGGAUCGUAAAACUCUGUUGUUAGAGAAGAACAAGGAUGAGAGUAACUGUUCAUCCCUUGACGGUAUCUAACCAGAAAGCCACGGCUAACUACGUGCCAGCAGCCGCGGUAAUACGUAGGUGGCAAGCGUUGUCCGGAUUUAUUGGGCGUAAAGCGAGCGCAGGCGGUUUCUUAAGUCUGAUGUGAAAGCCCCCGGCUCAACCGGGGAGGGUCAUUGGAAACUGGGAGACUUGAGUGCAGAAGAGGAGAGUGGAAUUCCAUGUGUAGCGGUGAAAUGCGUAGAUAUAUGGAGGAACACCAGUGGCGAAGGCGGCUCUCUGGUCUGUAACUGACGCUGAGGCUCGAAAGCGUGGGGAGCAAACAGGAUUAGAUACCCUGGUAGUCC